GCAAAGGAAGCCAGAGAGGAACUUGGGCUCUGUGAAGUCCUGGCAUCUGAUCAGUGCCUGAGCUGAAGCAGGCUGCAUUACCCAGCCUGGCUCCCCUGCACAAGGAAGGCUGCAGAAGACACAUCAAGCUGGCAUCCACAAGCCAGCAGAGCAGCACAGAGGAUUCUUCUUGCCUUUCUCUGCAAAAUGAGAACUCAUCCCUCCUUCUGGACCAGUUGGAAAAGUUACCAAAGCAAACUCCCUGCUUUUGCAGAAUACUGCUCUGACAAAGUAGACCUUGGGAAUCAGCCAUCACGGACAGCACCAGCUGGGAUCGGUCCUCUUUCCAUCACUGAUAUUAUAUAAACAUGUUGCUACAGAUUUACGUACAGCACAAGAGAACUAAACUUUCAAGAAGGCUGAGCUGCAGGCUCAACAAAGAAAACGGUGAUAGCAGAGGGUAGGUAACAAGGUGCUGAAUACAAGAGAAGCGAAAUGUUUAGAGAACUGGUGCGUGGGUUGCUGCCCUGCUGCCUGGUGAGCCCAUGGAAAGACUGGGUAUGCUUCUGCAUCUGGGAGCAGCUCCUUGCGUCAGAGCAACAUAGUGAGAAUGACCUCCAUGUCAGGUAGGCAGGUAGAGGGGGGCACACGCCAGCUGUGCUGACAUUCCUCACACUGAUUCAGCUGGGAGGUUAUUUCAGAACACCUGACAUUAUCAGAGAGCUCCUACCAGGCUUUCGGAUGAGGGUGGGUGCAACCAAGCCAACCCAGGGGAUUCUUGCUAUUGCUUAAAUUGACAGCAUAAAAUGGUGAAAAAGUUCAAGAAAGAGCGGAACACCCGUAACAAAAACAUUACAUUGGACAGAUGAUAAAGAAUUUUUAUUAUAGCUAACAGUGAACAGGAACCAAUCUCUGCACUGAAGCAGAAAAAGCAGUGAGCAAACAUGGGAACAGUGACUGACUGCAGACAUGCUGAAAUCAUUAAAAGCCAUGACAAGAAAAGUAUAGGCACCUUAUGCAAGAUUUAUGAAAGCUGCCUGAAGAAGGCUAUGCAAACUCUGCCAGAGAGAAUUAAGCAAGAAUUACCUAAAAACGUAUGUAAACAAGGUAUAGUGGAAGAGAAAGAGGCAACAGGAACACUGUGGGAAGUAACCUAGACAUCGGGUCAGAAACCACAGCAUCAGCACUUUGCCCUACAGCAGCGAUCAUGAGGAAAGGACAUUGAAGAACAAGUGCACGCCUCCUCCAGUAAAUCAAGUUUUCUGCUCAUGUACGUCACAGAAUGCUGCAGCUAAGAGGAUCUCAUGUAUUUUUCACCCUGAUGUGCUGUCUGUGCUUUAGCUGUCUGUGCUUUAGCUGUGCCUAGCUUUAGCCAGGAACAAAAAGGUGGAAUAAAAUGUGACAUACCUGUGCCAAAGGAACAACCUGAAAGACUGAGAAAUAGGGUUCAGCAAACUACAAGUGCUCAAGAGCACAGGCACCUGAGCCUCUUUUCAAACCCCCAGUUUCAGAAACCUUAUUAAUGCAUUAGCCAGAGAGAACUCAUAAGGUGAAAGACACGUGUUACAUUUUUCUUCUAAUAUAUGCUCUGAUCAAAAACUGAGAUGAAAUUUCUCUGCUUUAAUUGGCAGCACUCAAAGCAUAUUUCCUUUUUGAAGUCAAUAUUUUAGGUGAAAUAGCAAUCUUCUCUACGGCUUACAGUCACGCUCUGGAAAAACAAGCUACGUGACGUAUUUCCAAGGCCCCUUUGUUAUUUUUUGGCUGACAGAGAAAUUUUUCAAAUUGAACUGAACAUUUUCAACUGACACGAGGAACUUUAGGCAGAAGGUUUUCAGUCCCCACCUCCUCCGGCCCUAAUGUUGUCUGAAGAAUUAUCACAACCAGAAAAGGCUGAUUUCCUUCCACAGGCUGCAGGCAUGACAAGCCAGCACUGAUGCUACAACAAAUGAGCUCCUUCUCACAGACCAGUUCCUGAUGGAUGGCACAGAAGGACCUUCUGCAAAGGCCUCCUAUAGCACCAGCGUAGAAAAAGCUGUGCUCAUAGCACAACAUGGAGAGAAAACAUUUUUUCACACCUUGACUGUGUUUUUCACAUCUUGACUGUGUCAUUACUCUUCUGUUACCUAAAGCCCCUUUCCGCAGCCCUCCACCAUUCUGCUGACUCUCUGAGGACAGGACUUGUUCCAGUGUGCCGUGACCUGCCAGCUGUCUGGCAAGCACUUGCAAAGACUCCAGGCCAAAAAAACAAUCUCUUCCCAGCUCAAAAUCCAUAGGGCUUUAAUGAGGUCUUGGGGAGAAGCAGCAGUUAUCAGAGAUUCGUUAAAGAUGAGGACAUCCUCUCACAGCUACUAAUUGCUCUAACUCACUUGUUUGUAGUGUUGGCGAAAACCAGAGCUUGCCAAGUGAUGCUCUCAAUUUAAAUAGUUACAGUGCUUUGUGCCUGCUUUGGAACUUUCCUUCUCUGCUCCUGAAUUGAAGCACAGAAUGAAGUUACUUGUUGCUACUAGCACAACAGAAGAGACUUGUUCUGCUGGGAUCAGGGAAUACCCUUUUCUUGCUAAAUAUGCAGCUACUGAAAGCUAUGCCAUUGCAAACCUUCUGAGUAGUAAUUAUAAAGGUAUCACUAAUACUAUGUUCCUACACAUGGUGUUUAACUAGACUACACCCUUUUCUGAACGUCACAGUGACUGUUUUGUUGCUACAGGUCUGAUUAAAACCGUAAUGAAAUCCCAGCCUUUCAUGAAGAGAUGUGGCAAAUCAGCACUUGCUGAAAAAAUGCAUUUUCUCAGUGACUGAAAAGCCUCCAGCACACACCGGUUUUGAUCUU
rnacentral:lncRNA from 7 species